UUGAUAGUACAAUUGAAUUAA
rnacentral:misc_RNA from 1 species